GCAUGUGGUUUAAUUGAAAGCAACGAAGAACCUUACCAGGUCUGACAUCCUUUGAAGAUGUUAGAAAUAACAUUGGCUCUUGGGAGCCAAAGUGACAGGUGGUGCAUGGUCGUCGUCAGCUCGUGUCGUGAGAUGUUGGGUUAAGUCCCGCAACGAGCGCAACCCUUAUUGUUAGUUGCCAGCAUUUAGUUGGGCACUCUAGCGAGACUGCCGGUGACAAACCGGAGGAAGGCGGGGACGACGUCAGAUCAUCAUGCCCCUUAUGACCUGGGCUACACACGUGCUACAAUGGCGUAUACAACGAGUCGCAAACUCGCGAGGGUAAGCUAAUCUCUUAAAGUACGUCUCAGUUCGGAUUGUAGUCUGCAACUCGACUACAUGAAGUCGGAAUCGCUAGUAAUCGCGGAUCAGCAUGCCGCGGUGAAUACGUUCCCGGGUCUUGUACACACCGCCCGUCACACCAUGGAAGUUUGUAAUGCCCAAAGCCGGUGGCCUAACCUUUUGGAGGGAGCCGUCUAAGGCAGGACAGAUGACUGGGGUGAAGUCGUAACAAGGUAACCAAGGGCGAAUUCCAG
rnacentral:rRNA from 1 species